rnacentral:lncRNA from 1 species
AGCAUUCGUCCCCCAGGCAGAAAGGACUCGCCUAGGGAGCCAGCGCGGUCCCAAAGGAGCCGCCGGCCCUGCCUCCCGGGAUCCGACCCCCGGUGCAGCCAGCCUGAAGUCGCCCGAGGGCAGGGCCGACCUCACCGAGCCGGGAAUGGCGUCUCAGGGGCAAGUGAGAACUGGCCUGAGAAGGGGACGGUAGGGGCAGAAGACGCCAGGCUGCCUCUUGGACCAGCAGCGCCGGCCCAGAGCCACACGACUCUCUGUGGCACUGGCGACAAAGCGGGGAAAGUUUCUGGCUAAGACUUUCACGGAGAGGCAGUUCGCUGGCGUUUAGUGUGGGGGCUCCCCGGGGAAGCCGGUCUUUGGAAAGUGGAGGGUGGAGGUGUGGCGUUCUCGGGGUCCCCGCCGAGUCGUGCCACCACCCCGUCCCGCUCCCCGAGCACUGCCAGCAGCCCCAGGCGAGCCGGGGCUCUCCGUGGGGCAGGGCACGCUUCUGCCCCCACUCCACUCCACAGUGAGAGCCCACGUCCGUGGGUGCAACGAGCUGCAGGAGCACCGGACACACGGCCAAGAUGUGUUUUUGGGAGGGCAGAGCGGUUUUCAUUGCGGCAUUCUUCGUUUCCUUUCAUCCUGGAGAGAGGAGAGGGCGGGCGCCUUCCCACGCCCUGGGCGCACAGGCAGAUCACUUACCUCCCCGCAUGGCCGCGCCGGGAGGUUUGCCCCGCGCGGAGCUCGGCGGCCGCCACGCGCAAAGCCCCGGUGCAGCCGGCCGGACGCGCGCGGCACGCCGGGAGUUGUAGUCCAGCGCCGGUCGGCGGGGGUCGGAGGGGCGGGGGCCCCCAGGAAUGGGGAAGGCCAGUACUAGAAGGGACAAGAUCUGGGCAGGACAAGGGAGGAUAUUUGCAAAAACUUAAAACUUCCAGGAAGAUGGGGGGAGGGGAACCCUCCUAGAGAGAUUUUUAAAGUGAGGUUUUUUUAGGUUAAUGCCAUUUUCUUCCUGUCUUACUCGCUUAUGACAACCCCAAUGAAGUUUUAAGCUGGACUCUGGCAGUAAUGUUAAGUAGAGAUUUUCUCGGCCAACUUCAUAUUAUUUAGGGUUCUAUUCUUCCUUCACCUUGAACACAGAUGUGCCAUUCUCUGCUUGGAUGCACACAGAAUAUUCUUGCUCACAGAAUAACUCAGUUGAAGCCCUGAGCAUGUAAAAGGAGGCCUCUCUUAGCAGCUGGGAAGAGAGAGUGGAGAGAAAGAGGGAUCAGGACAGAUGUGGACACGGCAGAAGAAGAGGAGCCUGCUGUGACGGACUUCCUUGAAAUGACAAACAAGUAAAUAUUUAAGGGAAUAAGUAAAACCAAAAGAAGGACUCAUGGGUUGGAAGAAUGGAAGGAGAAGGAAAAGGCAGAUGGGAUAGGGAUAGACAUUGAAGAUUGCAAACAGGCUAGUAGCAAAGAAAGCAAAAACAAACAGGGUUUUUAGAAGCCAGAUAAACCUUGGAUUCCUGGUGUUGUCACUUCUGAGCUAUCUCUGUUACCUUAGGUAAGUUCUUUAACCUCCCCAAACCUCUUUUGCCUCAUCUGUAAAAUUAAAAAAAAAAAAGUUCUGACUUUAUCAUGUGGCUGUGCCUAUUAAAAAGAGACAGGAAGCACAUAGUAUAGUGCUGGGCAUAUGCUAGGCAAUUAAUGUUAUUUACUAUUAUUAUCUGCAGAAAUUCUCUUUGUGUUAGUAUCAAAAAAUAAAUUGGAGUGGAAGUACCAGUUAGGAGGCUGUGACAAUACUCUAAGCUACUGGCAAUGAUAGCUUGAACUACAUUGACAGAAAGGCAACUAUGUUGCCAUAUGAGAUAGGGAAAACAGAGUACAAUCAAUUGGAUGUGGGGAAGGAAGAAAAAGAAUCAAAUUGGUUGUUAUUUCUAGAUUAAGUAGAUGAUGUUGUCAUUUUCAUAAAUAGAUACAACUGAUGGAAAAACAGGUUUUGGAGGAAGAUGACCACUGGCUUUCCUCAUUUUAUUGUGCUUUGCUUUAUUGCAGUUCACAGACAAUGUGUUUUUGUUGUUGUUGUUGUUGUUUAUUUUACAAAUUGACAGUUUUUGGUAACCCUGUGUUGAACAAGUCUAUUAGUGCAAUUUUUCCAGCAGUAUGUGCUCACUUCAUGUCUCUGUGUCACAUUUUGGGCAUUCUCAUAAUAUUUGAAAGUUUUUCAUUUUUAUUGUAUCUGUUGUGGUGAUCUGUGAUCACUGAUCUUUGAUGUUACGAUUGUAAUUGUUUUAGGGUGCCACAGACCAUGCCCAUUAAUCUAUAAAUGUUGUGUGUGUUCUGACUGCUCCACUUACCAGCUGUUCCCCUCCUCUCUCCCUCUCCUGCUCCUCCCUAUUCCCUGAGACACAACAAUAUUGAAAUUCGGCCAAUUAAUAUCCUUACCAUGGCCUCUAAGUGUUCAAGUGAAAGGAAGAGUCAUACUUCUCUCACUUCAAAUCAAAAGCUAGAAAUGAUAAACUUAGUGAGGAAGGCAUGUCAGAAAUCCAGAUAAGCAAAAGUUAGACGUCCGGUGCCAAACAGUUAGCCAAAUUGUGAAUGCAAACAAAAAGUUCUUGAAGGAAAUUAAAAAUGCUGUUCUAACGCAUACCUGAAUGAUAAGAAAGUGAAACAGUCUUAUUCCUGAUAUGGAGAAAGUUUUAGCGGUCUGCAUAGAGGAUCAAACCAGCCCCAACAUUCCUUUAAGCCAAAGCCUAAUCCAGAGCAAGGCCCUAACUCAAGGGUGGAGAGGUAAGGAAACUGUAGAAAAGUUUGAAGCUAGCAGAGUUUGAUUUCUUAAACGAGGUUUAAGAAAAGAAGCAUAACAAUGAAGUACAAGGUGAAGAAGCAAGUGCUGAUGGAGAAGCUGUAACACGUUAUCCGGAAGAUCUAGCAAAGGUAGAUGGAGGUGGCUACAAUAAUCAGCAGUUUAUCAAUGUAGACUUAAUAGCCUUCUAUUGGAAGAAGAUGCCAUGUAAGAUUUUUCUAGCCAGAGAAAAGUCAAAGCCUAACUUCAAAGCUUCAAAGGACAGGCUUAUUAGGGGCUAAUGCACCCAGUGAUCUUAAGUUGAAGCCAAUUUUCAUUUACCAUUAUGAAAAUUCUAGGGCCCUCAAGAAUUAUGCUAAAUUGACUUUACUUGUGCUUUAUAGAUGAGACAAAAAGGCCUGGGUGACAGCAUAUCUGUUUACAACAUGAUUUUCUGAAAAUUUUAAGCCUACUGUUGAGAACUACUACUCACAAAAAAAGAUUCCUUUCAAAAUAUUAGUGCUCAUUGACAAUACACCUGUUCAGCCAAGAACUCUGAUGGAGAUGUACAAGAAGAUGAAUGUUGUUUUCAUGCCAGCUAGUAAAACAUCCAUUCUGUAGCCCAUGGAUCAAGCAGCAAAUCUGACUCUCAAUUCUUAUUAUUUAAGAAAUCCUUUUUAUAAGUCUAUAGCAUCCAUAGAUAAUGAUUCCUCUGAUGGAGCUGGGCAUCAUAAUUGAAAGCCUUCUGGAAAGGAUUCAUCAUCUUAUAUGCCAUUAAGAACGUUCAUAAUUCAUGAGAGGAGGUCAAAAUAUAACAUUAACAUGAGUUUGGAAGAAGCUGAUUCCAAGCCUCAUGGAUAACUUUGAGGGGUUCAAGACUUCAGUGGAUGAAGUCCCUGCAGAUGUGAUAGAAAUAGCAAGAGAAAUAGAAUUGGAAGUGGUGCAUGAAGAUAUGACUGAAUUGCUGCAAUCUCAUGAUCAAACUUGAAUGGAUGAGGAGGUGCUUCUUAUGAUUGAGCAAAUAAAGUGGUUUCUUGAGAUGGAAACUAUUCCUGGUGAAUAUGCUAUGAACAUUGUUCAAGUGACAACAGAGAAUUUAGAAUAUUUCAUAAACAUAGCUGAUAAAGCAGCAUCAGGGUUUUAGAGGAUUGACUGCAAUUCUGAAAGAAGUUUUACUGUGGUUAAAAUGCUGUUCAGUAGCAUCACAUGCUACAGGGAAAUCUUUCAUUAAGGGAAGAGUCAAUUGAUGUGGCAAACUUUACUGUUAUCUUAAGAAAUUGCCACAGCCACGCCAACCAUCAGCAACCGACUACCCUAAUGAGUUACCAGCCAUCAACAUUGAAGCAAGACCCUCCACCAGCAAACAGAUUACAACUUGCUAAAGGCUUUAAGAUCGUUAGCAUUUUUUAAGCAAUAAAGUAUUUUUAAAUUAAGAUAUGCACUUUUUAAAAGAUAUAAUGCCAUUGCAUACUGAAUAUACUACAAUAUAGUGUAAACAUUUAUAUGCACUGGGAAACAAAAAAAUGUGUGUGACUUGCUUUAUUGCAGUGGUCUAGAACUGAGCCCACAAUGUUCCCGAGGGGCCUGCAGUUUGAUUUUGGACAUGCAUAACUUAAGGGUUUAUCUGUGUGAAUGACCAAGUGGAAGUUGGAAAUGUGGAUUUGGAUUUUUCAUGUAGAAAUGGGACUUUGAGAGUCAAUUACUUAGGAGAGGAAGUUGAAGAGCAUGUGAAGAGGAAAAAGGGAGGACAGCAGGCAUGGGCAUGGGGAGGUGGGAAGUCAGAUAAUAAUACCAGGCAGGAAUUGGUUAAGGAGGAAAGGAAAGCUGCAGGGGUGUAGUAACAUGGGGUGCAAGGGAGGAUGGAGAGAUGAGGAGCAGCUUCUUAACAGGUCAUAUGCUCUAGAGAGGUAGCCAAUGACAACAGAAAAGAGGCCUCUGGAUUUAUAGAUCAAGAAACUAUUGGGAUUGAACUGCUUCCAGGGUUUUUUUUUUGAAAUUUACCAGAGUGAUUUUGCUUGUCCCAGUGAUUGGGGAGUGUAUUAGUGCGUUUUCACACUGCUAUAAAGAAAUACCCAAGACUGAGUAAUUUAUAAAAAGGUUUAAUCGACUCACAGUUCCACAUGGCUGGGGAGGCCUCAGGAAACUUACAAUCAUGGAGGUAGGGGAAGCAGGCACUCUCUUCACAACAUGGCAGGAAAGAGAGAAGUGCUGUGAAGGAGGAACUUCCAAAGUUAUAAAACCAUAAGAUCUCAUGAGAACUCACUCACUAUCAUGAGAAGAGCCUGGGGGAAACUGCCUGCAUGAUCCAAUCACCUGCCUCCCUUGACACAUGGAGAUUACAAUUUGAGAUGAGAUUUGGUUGGAGACACAGAGCCAAACCAUAUGAGGGAGUGGGGCACUACUGGAAUAUAGUUGGUGGGGUCAAAGAUUCUAGACAUCUUCCAUUGACCAGGACAGUCGCGCAGAGCGAAGAAUUGUCCUGCAUCCUGUGUGACUUAGUUGUCCCACUGCUCAGCUCAUUUAUGUAGGUGAAAAAUCUGUUUAUAAUUAUCUGAGCCUAGAAUCUAUUUUAUAUAUAAACAUAAAUUGUUUUCCACACAGUUUUAAGUUAUAUCAAAUUUUCCUGGAAUGUUGUAAAUUGGAUGGCAAUAUCAUUUAUGGAAUUUGAAUCACCAAUACAGUUCAUUUUGUGGCUGUCUCUUUCAUGGUGAUUCUGCAUAUGGAACAAGUAUCUGACUACUUUAUUGUGUCUUUUAGCUUAGGGAUGCUUGAGCAGUUGCAUGUUGGAUCAUGCAGUUUUAUUAUUAUUAUUAUUAUUUUUUUUUUUUUUGAGACGAAGUCUCACUCUUGUCAUCCAGGCUGGAGUGCAAUAACGCUAUCUCAGCUCACUGCAACCUCUGCCUCCUGAGUUCAGCAGUUCUCCUGCCUCAGCCUCCCGAGUAGCUGGGAUUAUGGGUGCCUGCCACCACGCCCACCUAAUUUUUGUAUUUUGAGUAGAGACGGGGUUUCACCAUGUUGGCCAGGCUGGUCUUGAACUCCUGACCUCAGGCAAAUCACCUGCCUUGGCCUCCCAAAGUGCUGGGAUUACAGGUGUGAGCCACCGCGCCUGGUGGAUCAUGCAAUAUUUUAUGGUAAAUUACUUUAUUUUGUACUUUAUAUUAUAGUUAAGGUAUUGCUUUAAUUUUAGAAAAUUACAUAGGUAGGUAGCUUAUGGCUUCUACUUCACAAUGGUAAAAAGCAUAUUGUUUCAUAUUUGUUAUGAAAAGGGAUCAUUAAGAUUGACAAGAUGGAGAGCUAUUUAUUCCUUCAGUCAAUAAACAUCUCUGGAGUCCCUACUCAUUCUGGGUACUUGAGAUACAUCAAUAUAUGAAACAGAAAAAGUUUAUUGCCCUUUUGGAGUUAAUAUUGUAAUGUGGGAGAGGCAGAUGAUAAAUAAUAAACAUAAACAAAAUAAGUAAAUUCUCUAUUAGAAAGUUAUAAAUGCUGUGAAAAAUAAAAGGAGGAUAAAGGCAGUUGGGAGUGCAGGAGAGGGUGUGGGUUGAAAUGUUAAAUAUAAUGAUCAGGGUAAACUUCAUUGAGAAGGUGAUAAUCAAGGAAAGAUCUGGAGUUGGUAAGAGAAUGGCCUUGUGGAUUUCUGAGAAAAGAAAUAGCAAGGAUGCCAGUGUGGUUGGAUAUGGGCAGGGGUCAAGUAGAAGGAGGACAGGAAAACCCCGGGGCUGGAAACAAAUAAUGUAGGGCUUGUGGGCAUUGCAAGAAAUUUCAGCUUUCACUCUGAAUGAAAUGGGCAGCUGUUGGAGAGUUCAGAGCGGAAGAGUGACAUGGUCAGGCAUAGGUUUAAAGGAUUAUUCUGGCUGCUCUAUCAAGGAUAAAUCUUAACAGGCAAUGGUGGAAGCAGACUAGGCAAGAUGCUAUUGUAGUAAUCCAGGCAAGAAAUAUUAGUGGCUUGAACUAGAGUGGUAGCAACGAAAAGUGAUGGUGUGGAUGUGGAAAAGAAAUCAAGAAUUCUAUAGGGCAUAUUGGAAGAGUUUCAGGGGUUUGGGAGGGACGGAAGAUGGAGAUACAUUAAAGUAUGUUCAGGGCCUUAUAGGAAUGGGACUUGGGGGAUGACCUAGUAGUCUAGGACUUCUUGUGGUGACUCACAUAAACAGGGAUAAAGGGUAUAAUGAAAUCAGUCCCAGAGAAGGCAAGAAAUAAAAUGGUGAAGAGGUUGUGAGUGUGGGGGGUAUUGAUGAAUGUUUGAGUUCCCUGACUCUGGAUGGAGCUGAGAAUCAGGUGGACUCUUGAUCCACGUUGAUGGAAUGUUGAAGGCCUGGGGAGAGGAGGACUCAGUUCCUAGGCCAACGCUUAUUCAUCACUCCUGUCAGGAGCAGGCUGACUUGUUCAGAGUGAGUAGUCCUCUCUACCUCUGCUCUUGACCUUUUUGAUGGACUUAGCCCUUUUGAUGCAGUUGAGGAUUGGGGCAAGCUGGUAAUUACUCUAAGCACAAAGGCCCAGAAACAAUGAUGAUUCAAUAAAGUAUAUUCUAGAACACAGACUGAGGUAGACUUAAAAUUCUGGAAAUGGAGAAAUUUUGAGAAAUUUGGCAAAUGGGGAAUUUUGGCAAAGAAGGGCAGGAGAAGGUUUGGUCCUUAAUGUGGAAGGAUGCUCUAAGAUUGGGGAUAGCAGACAACUGUGUUUGUACAGUGAAGUGAAGAAGCCACUAGAUGCAGAAAUGUGAAAAUUCAGAACAGAGGGUGUAACUGAUGUAAUAUUUUCCUAGAGAAGAAGGAACUAUUGAUUGUUGAUCUUUGGAAGAAAAGUGGCAUAGUUUCUUCCUAUAAGAAAAGAAAGAGGCCAGGCGCAGUGGCUCAUGCCUGUAAUCCCAGCACUUUAGGAGACUGAGGCAGGCAGAUCACUUGAGGCCAGGAGUUCGAGAACAGCCUGGCCAAUGUGGUGAAACCCUGUCUCUACUAAAAUACAAAAAUUAGCCGGGCGUGGUGGCAGGCACCUGUAAUCCCAGCUACUCAGGAGGCUGAGGCAGGAGAAUUACUUGAACCCAGGAGGUAGAGGUUACAGUGAGCUGGGAUCAUGCCAUUGCACUCCAGCCUGGGCGACAGAGCGAGACUCCAACUCAAAAAAAUAAAAAAAGAAAAGAAAGAAAGCAAAUGGAAUGAUUUAGUAAUAUUGAGGGAAAUUCUAAAGAGAAAAGGGGGUAUAACAUUAUUUAAAGAUUAUUUUUAUUUAUUGUGAAAAUACACUGUAUGAUAAAAAAAAUUAAAGCAAUCAGAAACUUAAAAUAGAAAGUGAAAAUUCCCAAUAAACCCAUUCCUAAAAUAAUCCCUGUUAAAUGAUAUAUAUUGUCUAAAUUUUUAUCCUGUGCUUGUGACUUCUUUUUGUAAAUGUUACAUGAGGUAUUAAUCCAUUCUUUCAUUGCUGUAAAGAAAUACCUGAGACUGAGUAAUUUAUAAAGGAAAGAGGUUUAAUUGGCCCAUGGUUCUGCAGGCUUUUUGGAAGCAAAGCAUGAUGCUGGCAUCUGCUUGGCUUCUGGGGAUGCCUCUGGAAGUAAAAUCACAGCAGAAGGCGAAGGAGCAGCAGGCACCUCACAUCGCCAGAGCAGAAGCAAGAGAGAGUGGGUGCCACACUUUUAAACAGCUAGAUCUCACCAGGACUCAUUCACUAUUGUGAGGACAGUACCAAGGGGAUGAUGUAAAACUAUUAAAGAGAAAUCCACUCCCAUGAUUCAAUCACCUAUCACCAGGCCCCACUUCCAACAUUGAGGAUUAUAAUUCAACAUGAGAUUUGGGCAGGGAAACACAUCCAAACCAUAUCGUGUGAGUACCUAAAAUAUGAGUAUUUUUUCUUUGCAGGCUCUCAGGUUAAAUAAUAAAUAAAAAUUUGUUGAGCUUCUAUUACAUAACAGAUAUUAUUGCAUCAAUCUUUUCGAUAAUUGUUAUUCACAUCUUCCAUAUAAUAUCUAAUUUUUCUUGAUUAUUCAAGAAUAAAAAGAAAUUUGUUAAAGCCUCCUAACAUUUAUCUUGUUGUUUUCUUAUUUCUUGAAGUUUUGCUUUAUGUAUUUUAAUGCUGUUAUUUGAUACAUAAGCAUUUAUACUAAUAAUUUAUUUAUUGUGAGCUGUGUCAUUUGCCAUUACAAAGUGACUUUCUUUGUUCCAUGUAUUAAAAAGCUUUGUUCCAAGCUUUUUAAUAGCUUAUUCUAUCCCACUUGAAAUUAUUUGAAUUAGAUAUGUUUAACCU